AAAGUUUUCCCUUAGGUUUCUGAAGCUCAGGGAUUUUUCUGGGCUGGGGGAGAGCAAGGCUGCACACGCAAAACGUGAGGCUGCACCAGUGGCUUUGUCCCAGCUCCCAGUUCCUGCCUGCAGCUUUGGGGGCUGCUUUGAGGCAGCAGGGAGCAGCAUUAAAAGGAAAAUGCAGCUUGGGGAAGGCAGCUGGAGCCUCCUUCCUGCCUGGAAAGGGGUUUAGGGGCUCCUGGUAAAUCCCAGGUUAAGCCUGGAGCACAUUGCAGCCAGGCCAAAGCCAACAACCCUCUCCAGUUUCAGGAAACUGGGAGCUGUGGUUUAACAGGACGGGUGACACUGGUGACACGGGUGACAGGCUGCAGCCAAGGCCAGCCCUGGCUGGCAGUGACACUCACCUGCGCAGGUUGUGCUGUGGGAUUGCUCAAGCUGUGGCGGGAUCCUGAGGAGAACACGGAAUUUUCUUGGCUCUCUGCUGGCAGUGCCAGGGCGGUGUUUGGCACCUCUGCAGGGCUGGCGGUGCCCCUGUCCCUCACCCAGGCUGGCGGUGCCCCCGUCCCUCUCGGGGGAUCCCGGGCUGCAGCAGCUCCUCCCCAGGUGCAGGAGGGAGGGAAGGAAGGAUGUGUUUUAUCAAAGUCAGUCCCUGCUGUUUGAGUUCCUGCUCUGCCGCUCGAUAUCAUCUCAAAACCAACACGGGAGGUAAACAAUGACUCUGCUUUGCUUUUUGAGUCCUUUCUCCUGCUCCUCUUAUUUAACUUUUCAGUUGCUCCAAGCGUGGCUGCAGCAGAUGUGAGGAUGUGUUUGGGGGAGCCUCUGCUGCCGAGCCCUUCCUGGAAUCCUGCAGAAGCCGAAAAGAGCAGGAAAUAUUUUUCUAAGGCAGCCGAAACGAGCCCUCCUUCAAUAAUAACCCAAGGUGUGAAAAACCCCUCUGGUAUUUAUGAGCAGAUGUGAUUCAGGACUAAUUAAGACCCGAGGAGCUCAUGGGCAUCAAUGAAUCAUCUGCCAGGGAUGGUGGAGUUAUCAAGCUGAGCUCAUAUCGAACUGGUUCUGCGGUGGUGGCUGGUGGCACUGGGGACACUGAGCCAGUGCCAGGUGUCCCCAGGAGCAGCACAGACCUGGCUGCCACCGAAGGGCUUCACCGGGAAGGAAACCUGAGCUGCCAGGAGCCAGGGCUGCGGCUUGGAGGAGGAAAUUGCUGUUUCUGCUGAGCCGUGCAGAGAAAACAAAUCUCACCCCCAGGAGCCGCCUUCAAAGGGAGAAAUUCCUGCCCUGGGAGCUGCCCAGGGCUCAGCCCUGGCACCCACGGGCUGGGCAGAGCCUGGAGGGACUCAGGGGAGGGUUUGGAUGGGAGGGAUCCCAAAGCUCAUCCAGUUCCAUGUUCCAGCCUGCUCCAAGCCCUGUCCAGCCUGACCUUGGGGUCCAGGGGCAGCCACAGCUCCUCUGGGAGUUCCAUUCCAGGGCCUCCCCCCCUCACUGAAUUCAACCUAAAUCCAGCCUAAAUCCUUCUCCAGAGCCCCCCUGGGAUGAUGUUCCCUGGUCUCUCUUCAUUUCGAAAAAUCUCUUUUUUUUUUGCUCCCACCAAUGCCUUUCCUGCUGCCUCUCUCCCUUUCCAUGGUUUUCCUCCUCUUGGACUUUCAUGUUUUUCUGGAAAACU
ensembl:lncRNA